CCUGAGUGUGUGACUUCUCUCUGUGCUUGCAGGUUUUGCGGGAAGUUGUGGAGAGAAGCAGCUGAGUGCUGAGAAGAGCCUGAGCAGGUCUGCUGUGGGCCUUUCCCAGGCGUGGCUGAGACUUUCAGGCGCCACGGGCUUCCCCCCAGGCAGGAUGUUGGCGUUUGGAGUUGUUGCGGUGCAGGUGAUGAAGGCAAAUGUGGUGAGCAAAAGAAGAUCAGAGGGUGCGGCUGCUGCAGAGGAUGUGUCUGCUGUUGAGGAUGCCUCUUGAGGAGCAACAGUGAUGCAGAGCACUGCAAAAGUGAAGUGCAUGGGCAA